CCUACGCGAGGCAGCUGUGAGGAAUAUUGGUCAAUGGGCGGAAGCCUGAACCAGCCAAGUAGCGUGCAGGAUGACGGCCCUACGGGUUGUAAACUGCUUUUAUACGGGAAUAACGCGCCUUACGUGUAGGGCUUUGCAUGUACCGUAUGAAUAAGGACCGGCUAAUUCCGUGCCAGCAGCCGCGGUAAUACGGAAGGUCCGGGCGUUAUCCGGAUUUAUUGGGUUUAAAGGGAGCGUAGGCCGCAUGUCUAGCGUGCUGGGAAAUGUCCUGGCUAAACCCGGGCCUUGCAGCGCGAACUGGCGUGCGUGAGUCGGGGGAAGGCAGGGGGAAUUGGUCGUGUAGCGUUG
rnacentral:rRNA from 1 species